UACGAAGGGGGCUAGCGUUGUUCGGAAUCACUGGGCGUAAAGGGCGCGUAGGCGGCUAAUCAAGUCGGGGGUGAAAGCCUGUGGCUCAACCACAGAAUUGCCUUCGAUACUGUUUGGCUUGAGACCGGAAGAGGACAGCGGAACUGCGAGUGUAGAGGUGAAAUUCGUAGAUAUUCGCAAGAACACCAGUGGCGAAGGCGGCUGUCUGGUCCGGUUCUGACGCUGAGGCGCGAAAGCGUGGGGAGCGAACAGG
rnacentral:rRNA from 1 species